GGAGAGCUGGCCGAGCGGUCGAAGGCGCCACCCUGGAAAGGUGGUAUGGGGGUAACCCCAUCAAGGGUUCGAAUCCCUUGCUCUCCG
rnacentral:tRNA from 1 species